GGUCUCAGUUCGGACUGCAGGCUGCAACUCGCCUGCACGAAGUCGGAAUUGCUAGUAAUCGUAGGUCAGCAUACUACGGUGAAUACGUUCCCGGGCCUUGUACACACCGCCCGUCAAACCAUGAGAGUUGGCAACACCCGAAGUCGGUAGUCUAACCGCAAGGAGGACGCCGCCGAAGGUGGGGUUGAUGAUUAGGGUUAAGUCGUAACAAGGUAGC
rnacentral:rRNA from 1 species